rnacentral:rRNA from 1 species
GACGAACGCUGGCGGCGUGCUUAACACAUGCAAGUCGAACGGAAAGGCCCUGCUUUUGUGGGGUGCUCGAGUGGCGAACGGGUGAGUAACACGUGAGUAACCUGCCCUGGACUUUGGGAUAACUUCAGGAAACUGGGGCUAAUACCGGAUAGGAGCUCCUGCUGCAUGGUGGGGGUUGGAAAGUUUCGGCGGUUGGGGAUGGACUCGCGGCUUAUCAGCUUGUUGGUGGGGUAGUGGCUUACCAAGGCUUUGACGGGUAGCCGGCCUGAGAGGGUGACCGGCCACAUUGGGACUGAGAUACGGCCCAGACUCCUACGGGAGGCAGCAGUGGGGAAUAUUGCACAAUGGGCGGAAGCCUGAUGAAGAAACGCCGCGUGCGGGAUGACGGCCUUCGGGUUGUAAACCGCUUUCGCCUGUGACGAAGCGUGAGUGACGGUAAUGGGUAAAGAAGCACCGGCUAACUACGUG